AACGCGAAGAACCUUACCAAGGCUUGACAUCCCAGGAAUCUCCGAGAAACCGGAGAGUGCCUUCGGGAACCUGGUGACAGGUGCUGCAUGGCCGUCGUCAGCUCGUGUCGUGAGAUGUUGGGUUAAGUCCCGCAACGAGCGCAACCCUUACUCAUAGUUGCUACCCGCAAGGGAGAACUCUAUGAGGACUGCUCCGGAUAACGGAGAGGAAGGUGGGGAUGAGGUCAAGUCAGCAUGGCCUUUAUGUCCAGGGCUACACACGUGUUACAAUGCGCGCCACAAAGCGUCGCGAACCCGCGAGGGGGAGCUAAUCGCAAAAAAGCGCGCUCAGUUCGGAUUGCAGUCUGCAACUCGACUGCAUGAAGCCGGAAUCGCUAGUAAUGGCGCAUCAGAACGGCGCCGUGAAUACGUUCCCGGGCCUUGUACACACCGAUAGC
rnacentral:rRNA from 1 species